UCAAUAUAAAUCUUGUGACGCGCGGUGUUCAACUUUAGUCAGCGCCAAGCGCUUAUCGAGGGAGGACGUAUCGCUCGCUGUUGCGCCGCGCAAACUCGCCGGAGCUCGAAAAAUAUAGCGCAACCUGCGCAACGAACUCGUUUUGAUACUAGAUAAUGAAAGCAUAUUUAAUUCAGAUUAUCAGACUCAAUCGGAUACCAGUACAAAUAAUAUGGAAAAUGAAGAUACAAUACAUGGAAGACGAAUUAUAGAUUUUAGUUUUUUUAUAAAUCAAUUACUUAUACCUAAUUGAUAAACAAGGUGAAAAGUUUGGUUGUCGAUUAAAUAAUUUAAAAAUUGUAAACGAUUAUUUGUUUAUU
rnacentral:lncRNA from 1 species